GGACAGACCUGUAGAAGAGAGAUGUGAGAGGACACCCCAUAGCUGGGGAUAUCCUAAACCCUGUUGAUGAUUUUCAAGAUGAAGAUGAACACAGAGUCAGAUGUUUUAAAACAGGAGGGACUGCGUCCUCUAGCUUAAAACAGAAGUUACAUUUACCUGAAAACAUAAGGUCUUCUCACAUUUCCCUCCUACCUACAAUGAAAGUUUUGCAUGAGAUGACUGGGGCUGAUUGUAAAAACAUACCAAAAACAACUCCUCUUCAUCUUCAGCUGAAUGCUCCACGGAAAUAAGUGGAGACAGGAACAUAAGCUUCCUCUGCCUACAGCGAGGGAAACUCCACAACCUCUCUGGACAACCUGUUCCAAUGCUUCUGCACAGUAAAAAUUUCCUCCUCAUGUUCAUGGAACUUCUGUGCAUCAGCUUCUGCCCAUUGCCUCUUGUCCCAUUGCUUGGCACCACCGAGAAGAGCCUGGAUCCAUCUUCUUGGCAGCCCCUCUUCAGGUACUUGUGAUAUUGAUGAGGGCCCCUCUCCGCCGUCUCUCCUCAAGGCCGAAUAGGCCCAACUCCCUCAGCCUUUCCUCCUCUUUAGAGUCCCUCAAUCACCUUCGCUGCCCGCUCCCGGACCCGCUCCAGGA